AUGGCCAAACCAUUGACUGCCUCCACUAAUAGCUUAUGCGAAAUUAAUGUUGAUGCGGCGCUAACGAGGAACGAAUCGAUUGGAGCUGUUGGAGCAGUAUGCAGAGACCACCUUGGAGGUUUUCUGGGCGCAUCUAGUAUAGUUUUUAUGGGGAUGGGGAUCCAACAACUUUGGAAGCUCUAG
rnacentral:rRNA from 1 species